CACUUGACCCCACAGCACAAUUGGAAAGAGGCCGUGCACCCCUGCACGGGCCCCUGAGCCCCUGCGAAGGGCAGGAAAGGCGAGAUUACCAUUCUUGGGGGGACGGCAUUGGGGCAUCCAUGCUGAGGGACGUGGGAGGAGGGGGAGGACCCGGGUCGGGGCGUGGACGAGGCGGGAGGCGGCCUGCUGGUGGGACAACUCAGGUCUGUCCGCCUGACCACGCGGCAGGCCAGGCUGCACACGGCGUAGUAGCAGUGGCCCGAGAGGUCGGUCUCUUCGUAAAUGAUGGAUCCUGGAACAUGAAGAAGCAGGUGGGAGCUCCCAGGCCAGCAGCUGACGCCUAGGCGGGGCUUUCGCCAGGACCACACUGAGAGGGAUCCAACCAGGCUGCUGGUACACUGGGUGUACCAGCUGGGUGGGACUGGCAGGGGGCCUUCCACCCAGAUAGGAAUCGCAAACCCUCACAGAUGCCUUCGUGGGUCCUGCAGGCAGAGCCCAGCCCCUCGGACUCCCAUCAGACACACAGCCUUCAAGAACACAACAGCACCGGCCAGGCACAUAAGCACACGUCACACACCAGGCAGAUCACCCACCUGCGGGGUACAGCCUGUCGGACACGCUGCAAUAGCAAGUCUGGCUGGAGGGUGAUGGGGAGCUGGUGGAUGUCGCCAGAGACUGAGUAACCGUGGGCUCAUGGGGAGACAAGGGCGGGGUAAAAGGAGACGAGGGGGAGCGGCUUGGCUGCACAGAGGUUGCACUGGUGGUUGGAACAGAGCCUGAGCUGCUUGACUGCACAGAGGUUGCACUGGUGGUUGGCGCUGAGCUGGAGCUGCUUGACUGCACAGAGGUUGCACUGGUGGUUGGAACAGAGCCUGAGCUGCUUGACUGCACAGAGGUUGCACUGGUGGUUGGAACAGAGCCUGAGCUGCUUGACUGCACAGAGGUUGCACUGGUGGUUGGAACAGAGCCUGAGCUGCUUGACUGCACAGAGGUUGCACUGGUGGUUGGAACAGAGCCUGAGCUGCUUGACUGCACAGAGGUUGCACUGGUGGUUGGAACAGAGCCUGAGCUGCUUGACUGCACAGAGGUUGCACUGGUGGUUGGAACAGAGCCUGAGCUGCUUGACUGCACAGAGGUUGCACUGGUGGUUGGAACAGAGCCUGAGCUGCUUGACUGCACAGAGGUUGCACUGGUGGUUGGAACAGAGCCUGAGCUGCUUGACUGCACAGAGGUUGCACUGGUGGUUGGAACAGAGCCUGAGCUGCUUGACUGCACAGAGGUUGCACUGGUGGUUGGAACAGAGCCUGAGCUGCUUGACUGCACAGAGGUUGCACUGGUGGUUGGAACAGAGCCUGAGCUGCUUGACUGCACAGAGGUUGCACUGGUGGUUGGAACAGAGCCUGAGCUGCUUGACUGCACAGAGGUUGCACUGGUGGUUGGAACAGAGCCUGAGCUGCUUGACUGCACAGAGGUUGCACUGGUGGUUGGCGCUGAGCUGGAGCUGCUUGACUGCACAGAGGUUGCACUGGUGGUUGGAGCAGAGCCUGAGCUGCUUGGCUGCACAGAGGUGGUGCUGGGUAUUGGCGUUGAGCUGGAGCUGCUUGACCUCACAGAGGUUGCACUGGUGGUUGGCACCGAGCUGGAGCUGCUUGGCUGCACAGAGGUGGUGCUGGGUAUUGGCGUUGAGCUGGAGCUGCUUGACCUCACAGAGGUUGCACUGGUGGUUGGCACCGAGCUGGAGCUGCUUGGCUGCACAGAGGUGGUGCUGGGUAUUGGCGUUGAGCUGGAGCUGCUUGACCUCACAGAGGUUGCACUGGUGGUUGGCACCGAGCUGGAGCUGCUUGGCUGCACAGAGGUGGUGCUGGGUAUUGGCGUUGAGCUGGAGCUGCUUGACCUCACAGAGGUUGCACUGGUGGUUGGCACCGAGCUGGAGCUGCUUGGCUGCACAGAGGUGGUGCUGGGUAUUGGCGUUGAGCUGGAGCUGCUUGACCUCACAGAGGUUGCACUGGUGGUUGGCACCGAGCUGGAGCUGCUUGGCUGCACAGAGGUGGUGCUGGGUAUUGGCGUUGAGCUGGAGCUGCUUGACCUCACAGAGGUUGCACUGGUGGUUGGCACCGAGCUGGAGCUGCUUGGCUGCACAGAGGUGGUGCUGGGUAUUGGCGUUGAGCUGGAGCUGCUUGACCUCACAGAGGUUGCACUGGUGGUUGGCACCGAGCUGGAGCUGCUUGGCUGCACAGAGGUGGUGCUGGGUAUUGGCGUUGAGCUGGAGCUGCUUGACCUCACAGAGGUUGCACUGGUGGUUGGCACCGAGCUGGAGCUGCUUGGCUGCACAGAGGUGGUGCUGGGUAUUGGCGUUGAGCUGGAGCUGCUUGACCUCACAGAGGUUGCACUGGUGGUUGGCACCGAGCUGGAGCUGCUUGGCUGCACAGAGGUGGUGCUGGGUAUUGGCGUUGAGCUGGAGCUGCUUGACCUCACAGAGGUUGCACUGGUGGUUGGCACCGAGCUGGAGCUGCUUGGCUGCACAGAGGUGGUGCUGGGUAUUGGCGUUGAGCUGGAGCUGCUUGACCUCACAGAGGUUGCACUGGUGGUUGGCACCGAGCUGGAGCUGCUUGGCUGCACAGAGGUGGUGCUGGGUAUUGGCGUUGAGCUGGAGCUGCUUGACCUCACAGAGGUUGCACUGGUGGUUGGCACCGAGCUGGAGCUGCUUGGCUGCAUCUUUUCUCCGCUUCGGAGGAUAUUGCUGUAGGUCUCAAAGUCUCCUCCGUGGGGCCCGGGGGACGGGAAGUCCACGUCGAACCACUUGGACCAGGAGCACUGGGGCCGACACGGCGUGGGGCUGCGUGAGGAAGAGGUGGACCCAGGAACAGAGGUCGAGGUUGCACUGGUGGUGGGCGCUGAGCUGGAGCUGCUUGUCUGCACAGAGGUUGCACUGGUGGUUGGAGCUGAGCCUGGAGCUGCUUGGCUGCACAGAGGUUGCACUGGUGGUUGGUGAUGAGCUGGAGCUGCUUGGCUGCACCGAGGUGGUGCUGGGUAUUGGCGUUGAGCUGGAGCUGCUUGACCUCACAGAGGUUGCACUGGUGGUUGGAGCUGAGCUGGAGCUGCUUGGCUGCACAGAGGUGGUGCUGCUCGUGGCCCCAUGGGAGCUGGUCUCAGGGGGGCUGGUGACCCUCACGCUGGUGGUGGUGGGAAGUGUGAUCGGGCUGACAGGGCAGUCUUUCUUGGGCUCACAGCAGAGCACACGCACCUCAUAGUUGAGGCAGAUCCUGAACUUGCCCCCCUGGUCCUGGUUCCUGCACACCAGGCCCACCUCCGGCCUGCACUCCACCACCUGGCCCAGCUUCUGGAUGCUGACCUCGGGGUGGUUCUGGGCUCGGCACUGCAGGUCGCUGAUGUACUCAGGUUGCCGGCAGAUCUUUUCUCCGCUUCGGAGGAUAUUGCUGUAGGUCUCAAAGUCUCCUCCGUGGGGCCCGGGGGACGGGAAGUCCACGUCAAACCACUUGGACCAGGAGCACUGGGGCCGACAUGGCGUGGGGCUGGGUGGUGUUGGCCCGUGCCAGCUAGAUGUGAUGCUGGAGGCUGUGGGUGUGUGUCCUGAGGUGGCAGUGCUGUGCUGUGUGGAAGGCGACACCACCCCUGGGGUCCAGGCACUGCUGCUCUGUCGUGUGCUCUCAGGUGUGAAAGGCUCUGUUGUACUUCUCAGGCACGUGUCUACCAUCUCGCAGCACAGGAUCCGUAUUUCGUAGUUGUAGCAGAUGGGGGGCAGCUGGUCUUUGUUCAGGCAAACCAGCCCCACGGUUUUGUCACAGAUCACGUCCUGCCCUAGGGCCUGCAGCGGGGUAUCAGGGAAGCUCUCGGCCCGGCAUUCCACGUUCACGGGCUUGGCACAGAAUCUGUAUCCCUUGGCUCUCAGAUUCUGAAAAGUAUCAAAAUCGCCACUGUUUCUGUCUGGUCCGGGGUAGCUGCCGUCAAUCCACUUGGUCCACGUGCAGGAUUCUUGUAAACAGGUGACUGGGCUGGGCUCGUGUGAGGUGGGCUUACUUGGGACCACAGAGGUUGUUGUUGAAACUGCUGUCGUGCUGGGAGUCCAGAUGGUUGUUUUCACAGUUGUGGAAGUACCUGGGACAGGUGUAAGGGAACCUGGGCCAGAGGUAGAGGCACCUGCGGCAGGUGUAGGGGUUCCUGGGCCAGAGGUAGAGGUACCUGGGGCAGGUGUAGGGGUUCCUGGGCCAGAGGUAGAGGUACCUGGGCCAGAGGUAGAGAUACUUGGGGUAGGUGUAGGGCUACCUGGGGCAGGUGUAGGGGUACCUGGGCCAGGUGUAGGGGUUCCUGGGCCAGAGGUAGAGGUACCUGGGGCAGGUGUAGGGGUCCCUGGGCCAGGUGUAGGGCUACCUGGGACAGGUGUAGGGGUGCCUGGGCCAGGUGUAGGGGUUCCUGGGCCAGAGGUAGAGGUACCUGGGGCAGGGGUAGGGGUACCUGGGCCAGGUGUAGGGCUACCUGGGCCAGGUGUAGGGGUGCCUGGGCCAGGUGUAGGGGUUCCUGGGCCAGAGGUAGAGGUACCUGGGCCAGAGGUAGAGGUACCUGGGGCAGGGGUAGGGGUACCUGGGCCAGGUGUAGGGCUACCUGGGCCAGGUGUAGGGGUGCCUGGGCCAGGUGUAGGUGUUCCUGGGCCAGAGGUAGAGGUACCUGGGGCAGGUGUAGGGCUACCUGGGGCAGGUGUAGGGCUACCUGGGCCAGGUGUAGAGGUACCUGAGAUGGGUGUAGGGGUACCCGGGCCAGGUGUUAUGCUCGUUGUAGGGACAGUGGUUGGGCCAGUCAUGGUGACAGGGACUGAGGAAGCUGUGCUCCCCGUCAGCACAGAGGUGAACCCGCUGGUUCCUGGCGUGGGCCCGGUUUCAGUUGUGUUGAAGGCUGGAGGGGGAGAGGUCGCUGUGCUGCCUGGAGGGCAGGCCCUGGGUGAGCAGCACAGGAUCCUGAUCUGAUAGUUGUCGCAGUGCCCCGAGGGCUGGUCCCUGUUGUAACAGAUCAGCCCCACCGUCGGGCUGCACUCCACGCGCUGGCCCAGGGCUCGGAGGGGCACCCCCGGGGCAUCCUCAGCUUGGCACUCCACGGCGCUGGGCGCACGGCAGACCCGGUACCCAUGGGCACGGAGGUUUUCCAGCGUGUCGAAGUCACCGCUGUCUAUGCCCAGUCCCGGACGGCUGACAUCCAGCCAUGGCGACCACAGGCACUCCUCCCCACAGUGGGGUGUGGGUCCGGGGGGUGUGCCUGGGGUGGUGAGCGAGGCCCUGCUUGGCGUGUGUGUCGAGCUCGUGGCAGGGGUGGGGCGCGUGCUGGGCGGAAGCGUGGAGCUGACAACUGAGGGCAGGAGAGAGAUAGGGCGGGCGUCAGGGCUCCCCGGGGCUCUUGAGGCCCCCUGCGCUGCCCCCUCCAUCCCGCCGUCUCUGCCCAGGAUGGUA
ensembl:lncRNA